GCGAGCCCGGGGGCGGGGCCGAAGGGCGAGCCGGGCGGGAGGAGUCCGAGCCUUUGCCGCCGCUGCCGCCGCCGCCAGUGGGAUUGUCCAAAACACUCUGGAUUCUUCUGUGUUGGAACUGUUGCCAUGGAGACCUCCUGAGAUGCUACAGUACCAGUGGCUUCCAGUUUAACGUCCAGAGAGAGAUCCCACACCCUAUGGACCCACAGGCUGGUUUUUCUGGUUUGUUUCCCCUAGGGCAAUUGGCAUAUUUCUCCAAGAACCUUCAAGAAGCUGAACAGCCUGUUUUCAGACUUAGAGAGGGGAGGCCAACAACUGUUUCCUGAAA